rnacentral:rRNA from 1 species
UACGUAGGUGGCAAGCGUUGUCCGGAUUUACUGGGCGUAAAGCGCGCGUAGGUGGUUUCGCAAGUCUGUGGUGAAAUCUCUCGGCUUAACCGGGAGGGGUCUGCGGAUACUGCGGGACUUGAGUGGCGUAGACGAAAGUGGAAUUCCGGGUGUAGCGGUGGAAUGCGCAGAUAUCAGGAGGAACACCGGUGGCGAAGGCGGGUCUCUGGGCCGAUACUGACGCUGAGGAGCGAAAGCGUGGGGAGCGAACAGG